rnacentral:lncRNA from 1 species
UGACUUGGGAGGUGACUUAGUGACUUGAAAUUGAUUAAGUGUAGGUACUUGAAAUGUGAAUUAUUAUCAUUUUGAAUAUAGUUUAGUUUGGUGACUUGGGAGGUGACUUAGUGACUUGAAAUUGAUUAAGUGUAGGUACUUGAAAUUUGGAUUUUCUUAUUUUGAAUGUAGUUUAGUUUGGUAACCUGGGAAGUGACUUAGUGACUUGAAAUUCAUUAAGUGUAGGUAUUCAAAAUGUGAAUUUUAUCAUUUUAAAUGUAGUUUAGUUUGGUGACUUGGGAGGUGACUUAGUGACAUGAAAUUGAUUAAGUGUAGGUAUUUGGAAUGUGAAUUUUAUCAUGAUGAAUAUAGUUUAGUUUUGUGGCUUGAGAGGCGACUUAAUGACUUGAAAUGUAUUAAGUGUAGGUACACGAAAUGUGAAUUUUAUCAUUUUGAAUGUAGUUUAGUUUAGUGACUUAGUGAAUUGAAAUUGAUUGAGUGUAGGUAUUUAAAAUGUGAAUUUUAUCAUUUUGAAUGUAGUUCAGUUUGGUGACUUGGGAGGUGACUUAGUGACAUGAAAUCGAUUAAGUGUAGGUACUUUAAAAUGUGAAUUUUUUCAUUUUGAAUGUAAUUUGUUUGGUGGCUUGGGAGGUGAUUAAGUGACUUGAAAUUGAUUAAAUGUAGGUGACUUGGAAGGUAAUUUAGUGAUUUGAAAUUGAUUAAAUAUAGGUGACUUGGGAGGUGACUUAGUGACUUGAAAUUGAUUAAGUGUAAGUACACGAAAUGUGAAUUUUCUCAUUUUGAAUGUUGUUUAGUUUGGUGACUUGGGAGGUGACUUAGUUACUUGAAAUUGAUUAAGUGUAGGUACUUGAAAUGUGAAUUAUUUUUAUUUUGAAUAUAGUUUAGUUUGGUGACUCGGGAGGUGACUUAGUGACUUGAAAUUGAUUAAGUGUAGGUACUCGAAAUUUGACUUUUCUUAUUUUGAAUGUAGUUUAGUUUGGUGACCUGGGAAGUGACUUAGUGACUUGAAAUUGAGUAAGUGUAGGUAUUCGAAAUGUGAAUUUUAUCAUUUUAAAUGUAGUUUAGUUUGGUGACUUAGGAGGUGACUUAGUGACUUGAAAUUGAUUAAAUGCAUAUACUUGAAAUGUGAAUUUUUUUGUUUUGAAUGUAGUUUAGUUUUGUGACGUGAGGGGUGAUUUAGUGACUUGAAAUUUACUAAGUGUAGGUACUUGAAAUGUGAAUUUUUUUCAUUUUGAAUACAGUUUAGAUUGGUGACUUGGAAGGUGACUUAGAGACUUGAAAUUGAUUAAAUGUAUGUACUUGAAAUGUGAAUUUAAUCAUUUUUAAUAUAGUUUAGUUUGGUGACUUGGG